rnacentral:rRNA from 1 species
UACGGGGGGGGCAAGCGUUGUUCGGAAUUACUGGGCGUAAAGGGCUCGUAGGUGGCCAACUAAGUCACACGUGAAAUCCCUCGGCUUAACCGGGGAACUGCGUUUGAUACUGGAUGGCUUGAGUUUGGGAGAGGGAUGCGGAAUUCCAGGUGUAGCGGUGAAAUGCGUAGAUAUCAGGAGGAACACCUGCGGCGAAGGCGGGUUGCUGGGCUGACACUGACGCUGAUGCGCGAAAGCUAGGGGAGCGAACGGG